UAGGGAAUAUUGCACAAUGGGGAACCGUAGCAUGCAGCGACGCCGCGUGAAGGAAGAAGUAUCUCGGUAUGUAAACUUCUAUCAGCAGGGAAGACAAUGACGGUACCUGACUAAGAAGCCCGCUGAACUACGUGCCAGCCAAGCCGCGGCGUGAAUUAAUCGUAAGGGGGCCAAGGCGGGGUUCAAUUCCGGGAUUUUACUGGGUGUAAAGGGAGCGUAGACGGAUCUGCAAGUCUGGAGUGAAAGCCCGGGGCUCAACCCGGCACGUGCUUUGGAAACUGUGGAUCUGGAGUGCCGGAGAGGUAAGCGGAAUUCCUAGUGUAGCGGUGAAAUGCGUAGAUAUUAGGAGGAACACCAGUGGCGAAGGCGGCUUACUGGACGGUAACUGACGUUGAGGCUCGAAAGCGUGGGGAGCAAACAGGAUUAGAUACCC
rnacentral:rRNA from 1 species